rnacentral:rRNA from 1 species
UACAGAGGUGGCAAGCGUUGUUCGGAAUUACUGGGCGUAAAGGGCGCGUAGGCGGCCUUGUAAGUCCCGUGUGAAAUCCCCUGGCUCAACUAGGGAAUUGCACGGGAGACUGCUUGGCUUGAGUUCGGGAGAGGGAAGCGGAAUUCCGGGUGUAGCGGUGAAAUGCGUAGAUAUCCGGAGGAACACCGGUGGCGAAGGCGGCUUCCUGGACCGACACUGACGCUGAGGCGCGAAAGCUAGGGGAGCAAACGGG